UACGUAGGGGGCAAGCGUUGUCCGGAUUUAUUGGGCGUAAAGAGCGUGUAGGCGGCCAAGCAGGUCCGCUGUGAAAACUCGAGGCUCAACCUCGAGACGUCGGUGGAAACCGUUUGGCUAGAGUCCGGAAGAGGAGGGUGGAAUUCCUGGUGUAGCGGUGAAAUGCGUAGAUAUCAGGAGGAACACCGGCGGCGAAGGCGGCCCUCUGGAUCGUUGCUGACGCUGAUACGCGAAAGCGUGGGGAGCAAACAGG
rnacentral:rRNA from 1 species